UACAAGACAGAACUAGUUCUAUUUAGUUGUCAAACUUUAUCGAUGUUGUGGUUUCAAAUUAUUCAUAAUCUCCAUUGGUUUGUCAUUAUUGUUUGCAUUUCAUUUGACAAAAAAGAAUAUUUCAUUAGGAACUAUGUUUUCAAAAUGUUAGAUGGAAAUGGAGAGAAUAAAGUUGGGGUCAUCCGACAAGGAAGCCUACACCCAAUUGCUACACUUCAUCGCCAAAGAAAUUUUCUGUUGACAUCAUGAAUCAUCAUAUGUGUGGCCUAGUUCUCACUGAAAAUACACUUUUUGGGCUGGUUUUCUCAUAAUAAGUGGUUGGAGUAAAGAGGACUCUAAAAUUAAUUGAUUAAUUAGUCGUUGGUGACAUGGUCCAAAGUCCAAACAAGCGACAGAUUUGAAGGAACGGCCAUCUCGGCAGUUUCCACGGAAGUGGUCAGUCUAAGCCCGAAAGCAGAGGUGCUGCGAUUUGUAGGGUCCAAUUUAUCCGGCUCAUGAACGGUCAACCGUCAAUGCGGGCCUCGCUCAACCAACACUGAUCAUAAAAGCACGUGUAGCUAACGUGGCAAACUGUCAUAACAGACAAUAACCGUGACCUCGUCCUUUUGUCUCGUAUCGGGUGUGGACACGGAAAUCACACCAAAUUUUACUCUUCGCUCUUUUCUCUCUCCAACGUGCAAAUCACCUGGGGUAAAUUAAAUUUUGGAAAAAUUGGAGUGUAUGGAGAAUACACACCAAUUUUCUCUCUCAAAACCCGGUUGCUGUUUUGAGAAAAUUUUUAUUUUGUUUUAUCUUGUG